rnacentral:rRNA from 1 species
UACGUAGGUGGCGAGCGUUACUCGGAAUUACUAGGCGUAAAGCGCGUGUAGGCGGGAGCUUAAGUCUGCUGUUAAAUCUCACAGCCCAACUGUGAAAUGCCGGCAGAUACUGGGUUUCUUGAAUUCGGUAGAGGUGACUGGAAUUCCGUGUGUAGCGGUGAAAUGCGUAGAUAUACGGAAGAACGCCAAAGGCGAAGGCAGGUCACUGGGCCGCAAUUGACGCUGAGACGCGAAAGCUAGGGGAGCAAACAGG